UACGUAGGGGGCAAGCGUUGUCCGGAUUUAUUGGGCGUAAAGAGCGUGUAGGCGGUUUGGUAGGUCCGCUGUGAAAACUCGAGGCUCAACCUCGAGACGCCGGUGGAAACCAUCAGACUAGAGUCCGGAAGAGGAGAGUGGAAUUCCUGGUGUAGCGGUGAAAUGCGCAGAUAUCAGGAAGAACACCCGUGGCUAAGGCGGCUCUCUAGUACGGUACUGACGCUGAGACGCGAAAAGCGUGGGGGAGC
rnacentral:rRNA from 1 species